GAACUGCAGGGUAGCCGAAAAAGAGGGAAUGUGGAAUCGGAAGGCAUGAAUGAGAGACGGUAGCGAUCCGGACGGCAGAGGGAGUGGCGGAAUCGGCAGUGGCGGAGGGAUGGAGGGUUGCUACGUACCCAAUAACCCGGCACACUACGGGCUUGACGGAGGUUGGAGCAUCGGAGUGACCGACGAGCUUUCCCUUCCCACUCUCGAUCUCGACCCUUUACCCAGUUUGUUUCCAUUUAGCCCCUGCUCAGGAACUACCGCUCCGACGGCAUCUUUUAAGAGUGAAUUCAGCACAUUGAUCGGUAAAAACGGAGAUGAAGUUGGAGUAAGGGAACCACAUGAUAUGGCUGACGUUUUACUAUCACUAAAACAUGCCAUCGUUCACCCUGGACACACAUGCUCCUCUUCACCUUUCACUCACUCAUACAGCUCCUCGCCAUACUCACUACAUCCACAACAGAUGAUGCCUGUCUCGCCGGGAGCUGGUUCAUACUCUGAUGGAGGAGGCUGCAAUAAUGGAGUGCCCGGCUUUAAUUUAGACCCGCUGAUCUCUGUAUGACAAGCAAUGCAGGUGGAAACUGGUCAGCUAACACUAAUACAAAUCAAUCACCUAUAUUCCCGAGUAUGAGUGUCAACGUAUCUAUGAACAUGACUAUGCACGGUUACCCUUCGGUCAUGAGUGAGCACCAAAUAACAUAUCCGCAGAUGCAGUGGAUAUCAGUUCCUUCAACAUCAGAAUCAAACUCACCUAACUACCAAAGCCAGGGAUUGCUGAAUCCGCACAGUGGAAACCACGGAGGGAGUGCGAGUUAUUCUUUCACGACGGACUUCCGACAAUCGAAUCAGAACACGGUGGAGCAAGGAUUCAGCAUAUACACGAAUCCUCUCGGAAGUGGCUGCGGGAGCAACAGAGCCGGGAGUUGUGCCGACGGUGCGGAAGGAGGGUCUGGACACAGGGAGGAAAAGGGAGCGACACCCAGCUACAGGCCUGUUUCACCGAUCUCACCUCUGUCACCGUCGAACCUAAGUAGUUCGACGCCGAACCACCUGAAGAGUGUUAGCAAUUACUGUAUA
rnacentral:lncRNA from 1 species